rnacentral:lncRNA from 1 species
UGGCCCCCAAGCUGAGAACCGGGAGCCGGAGGAAAUCAUAGCGAAAUCUCAACCUGAUGUAGCCCCAUCAGCAUCACACACACACUCAGAGCAAAAUGGCCUGCUCUUCAAUGUAGCUUAGUUUAGUUCAAUUGUCCUGCCCACCCCCUCCUGACCCUCCUGCCGCUGAGGGGUGGUAUUUGAAAGAACAGCUUCUUUCCUCUCUUCUCCUUGGGACAGCAACAGCACAGAGAGUGGGCCGCCAUCUCUUACUGCCCACUCAACCGUUGCUGGGGACUGAUUCUUUCAGCUCUACAUAGAAUUCAAGAACUAUAUUUGGAUCUGCUUCAGAGCAGUAAUCCCCACAGCCUUAAAACAUGCAAAAUAAAAAUAAAUUAAUCAUCCAUCAGCA